UACGGAGGGUGCAAGCGUUAUCCGGAUUCACUGGGUUUAAAGGGUGCGUAGGUGGGUUGGUAAGUCAGUGGUGAAAUCUCCGAGCUUAACUUGGAAACUGCCAUUGAUACCAUCAGUCUUGAAUACCGUGGAGGUCAGCGGAAUAUGUCAUGUAGCGGUGAAAUGCUUAGAUAUGACAUAGAACACCAAUUGCGAAGGCAGCUGACUACGCGAAUAUUGACACUGAUGCACGAAAGCGUGGGGAUCAAACAGG
rnacentral:rRNA from 1 species